AAUUUUGGACAAUGGGGGCAACCCUGAUCCAGCCAUCCCGCUUGUGCGAAGAAGCCCUUCGAGUUGUAAAGCACUUUUGGCAGGAAAGAAAAGGCUCUGGCUCAUACCUGGAGCUACUGUCUGUACCUCCAGUAUAGGCACCGUCUAACUACGUACCAGCAGCCCCGGUAAUACGUAGGGUUCAAGCGUUAAUCGGAAUUAAUGGGCGUAAAGCGUGCGCAGGCGGUUCGGCAAGAAGGAUGUGAAAUCCCAGGGCUUAACCUUGGAACUGCAUUCUUAACUGCCGGGCUAGAGUAUGUCAGAGGGGGGUAGAAUUCCGCGUGUAGCAGUGAAAUGCGUAGAGAUGCGGAGGAAUACCGAUGGCGAAGGCAGCUCCCUGGGAUAAUACUGACGCUCAUGCACGAAAGCGUGGGGAGCAAACA
rnacentral:rRNA from 1 species